UACAGAGGGUGCGAGCGUUGUCCGGAAUCACUGGGCGUAAAGGGCGCGUAGGCGGUCUGGUAAGCGUGCGGUGAAAGCCCGGGGCUCAACCCCGGGUCGGCCGUGCGAACUGCUGGACUGGAGCUUGUCAGAGGCAGGCGGAAUUCCGGGUGUAGCGGUGAAAUGCGUAGAGAUCGGGAGGAAGGCCGGUGGCGAAGGCGGCGCUCUGGAACAUUUCUGACGCUGAGGCUCGAAAGCGUGGGGAGCAAACAGG
rnacentral:rRNA from 1 species